UAUCCUGUCUGAAUAUGGGGGGACCAUCCUCCAAGGCUAAAUACUCCUGACUGACCGAUAGUGAACCAGUACCGUGAGGGAAAGGCGAAAAGAACCCCUGUGAGGGGAGUGAAAUAGAACCUGAAACCGUGUACGUACAAGCAGUAGGAGCACCUUCGUGGUGUGACUGCGUACCUUUUGUAUAAUGGGUCAGCGACUUAUAUUCAGUGGCAAGGUUAACCGUAUAGGGGAGCCGUAGCGAAAGCGAGUCUUAACUGGGCGCUCAGUCUCUGGAUAUAGACCCGAAACCGGGUGAUCUAGCCAUGGGCAGGUUGAAGGUUGAGUAACAUCAACUGGAGGACCGAACCGACUAAUGUUGAAAAAUUAGCGGAUGACUUGUGGCUAGGGGUGAAAGGCCAAUCAAACUCGGAGAUAGCUGGUUCUCCCCGAAAGCUAUUUAGGUAGCGCCUCGGACGAAUACUACUGGGGGUAGAGCACUGUUAAGGCUAGGGGGUCAUCCCGACUUACCAACCCUUUGCAAACUCCGAAUACCAGUAAGUACUAUCCGGGAGACACACGGCGGGUGCUAACGUCCGUCGUGGAGAGGGAAACAACCCAGACCGCCAGCUAAGGUCCCAAAGUAUUGCUAAGUGGGAAACGAUGUGGGAAGGCUCAGACAGCUAGGAUGUUGGCUUAGAAGCAGCCAUCAUUUAAAGAAAGCGUAAUAGCUCACUAGUCGAGUCGGCCUGCGCGGAAGAUGUAACGGGGCUAAGCAAUACACCGAAGCUGCGGCAAUGUCUUUUAGACAUUGGGUAGGGGAGCGUUCUGUAAGCCGUUGAAGGUGAAUCGUAAGGUUUGCUGGAGGUAUCAGAAGUGCGAAUGCUGACAUGAGUAACGACAAAGGGGGUGAAAAACCUCCUCGCCGGAAGACCAAGGGUUCCUGUCCAACGUUAAUCGGGGCAGGGUGAGUCGACCCCUAAGGUGAGGCCGAAAGGCGUAAUCGAUGGGAAACGGGUUAAUAUUCCCGUACUUCUGACUAUUGCGAUGGGGGGACGGAGAAGGCUAGGUGGGCCAGGCGACGGUUGUCCUGGUUCAAGUGCGUAGGCUUGAGAGUUAGGUAAAUCCGGCUCUCUCUAAGGCUGAGACACGACGUCGAGCUACUACGGUAGUGAAGUCAUUGAUGCCAUGCUUCCAGGAAAAGCCUCUAAGCUUCAGAUAGUCAGGAAUCGUACCCCAAACCGACACAGGUGGUCGGGUAGAGAAUACCAAGGCGCUUGAGAGAACUCGGGUGAAGGAACUAGGCAAAAUGGUACCGUAACUUCGGGAGAAGGUACGCUCUUGAUGGUGAAGUCCCUCGCGGAUGGAGCUGACGAGAGUCGCAGAUACCAGGUGGCUGCAACUGUUUAUUAAAAACACAGCACUGUGCAAAAUCGCAAGAUGACGUAUACGGUGUGACGCCUGCCCGGUGCCGGAAGGUUAAUUGAUGGGGUUAGCGCAAGCGAAGCUCUUGAUCGAAGCCCCGGUAAACGGCGGCCGUAACUAUAACGGUCCUAAGGUAGCGAAAUUCCUUGUCGGGUAAGUUCCGACCUGCACGAAUGG
rnacentral:rRNA from 1 species